rnacentral:rRNA from 1 species
CCUACGGGUGGCAGCAGUGAGGAAUAUUGGUCAAUGGCCGGAAGUCUGAACCAGCCAAGUAGCGUGAGGGAUGACUGCCCUCUGGGUUGUAAACCUCUUUUAUAAGGGAAUAAUAAAUGCUACGUGUAGCAUGAUGCCUGUGCCUUAUGAAUAAGCAUCGGCUAACUCCGUGCCAGCAGCCGCGGUAAUACGGAGGAUGCGAGCGUUAUCGGGGUUUAUUGGGUUUAAAGGGUGCGUAGGCGGUUUUUUAAGUUAGUGGUUAAACGUAGGGGCUUCACCUUGAAUUGCAAUUAAUACUGUAAGACUCGAGUUCAGACGAGGAAGGCGGAAUAAGUGAAGUAGCGGUGAAAUGCUUAGAUAUAACUUAGAACUCCGAUAGCGAAGGCAGCUUACCAGACUGCGACUGACGCUGAAGCACGAGAGUGCGGGUAGCGAACAGGAUUAGAUACCCGGGUAGUC